UCCAGGGUAGCCUAGUGGACAUGGCAUCUGCCCGGUAAGCGGAACGUUGUGGGUUCGAUUCCCAUUCCUGGAC
rnacentral:tRNA from 1 species